UCUGAAUUUAGCAGCUACAGCCAAUCUUGUCAUCCGCCGAUGCUAUCAAAACAAGAAGAGUAAGUUAAUACAGUUGCACUGAAAGGCAAAGGACAGACGGAAGAACUCAUCUAACAAGGUUGCAGAGAUAUAAAUGUUUAUGUGGACCACUCUGAUCUUCCACACACGACUACUUAAUUCCUACACAAAGAACCCUAAUCAACUCAAUGUUUUCAGUGAGACACUAUCGAUAUUUGAGGCUGCUCACAUAAAAUUUCCCAUCAUAGGCUGUGAUAAACUUCAUGUAUCAGGGUGCAGCUGCUUGCAGACAGGAGGGGUGAAGGAAGAGUUAAGAGGAGUGCAGUGCCAUUCAUUCAAGAAAGCACUUUGAAAAUCCCAGCCAUUCAGUCCAUUCCAGAGGCAAGAGCUGCUUCUUCUAAAAUAUUUUUAUGAGCUCUGGGAAUAGUUGUCUCUGACAGGAAGAAAAUGGCAAUAUCCCCAGGGAAUUCAUCCUAAUCCUCCCUUUGAAUUAGCAACAGAAUACUGAGGGGGCUUUGGUGAAACUCCUCCCUCCCCUGGACGUUGACAAAUGGAUCUGCAGCAUUCUGAGCUGUGCAGAAAGCCAAGAAUAUUAGAAGCACAGUAGGUCAUCUCAGUCACAAGAAAAGGCUGAUCUGUUGCUUUCUCUACAAAGUGAACUGAGAGCCAGGGAGUUGUAAAGCAACACAGGAUAAAAGGGUCUGCUACAAAUGAAUCCUCUGUUAACUCAGCACAGAAGGCCCGGGUAGCUUCUAUGGACUAUAGGAUUUCCAAUUUCAAUAUGCAAGCUAUUUAAAAAAAACCUGAAAAGCUGUCAAACGUACAACUACUGAACCAUGUCAUUUGUGAUGCUCCCUAAAUAAAAUGGCCACUAAAACUAACUACCAAGUCCUUGUACAAGACUUUAUGAUUUGUUUUUAACUCUGAUAAUAUUUUAGGGUGUUAGUAUUGCUAUAUCGCGAUUGCGUUAUAUGAUCCAGAAUAUUCACCAUUUCAUAUAAAAAACAUAACGCAAAGCUCAAGAACC